AUUGGCUGUUCAAAAUUAGAAUUGUAAACAUGCAAAACUAUGUAGGUGCGGUCGUAGACGUUUGUGGCAGUGGCCGAUAUACGCAUUUUUGAUGCGAUUCCACAGUUCGGUGACUUUCGUAAUAAUUCAGUAUGAUCAAAAUCAAACGAUUUUAUGUCGUUCACGAGCCGAACGAAAAUUUUCUGAAAAUAUGGAGUCCCUAUAACGUCGGCAAUGGCCUUUACAGAGUCUUUACUACUGCCAAAAAGGCACUUUCUUUCUAGCCCCCGAAAAGGGCAUUUUUUCACUUUUAAAGAGUGGGGAGGCACAUGCCCCCAUUGCCCCCCGGUUCCGCGGCCCCUGAUUAAUGUUAAAUCAGGCAAUAUACGUC